CCGCAUUCGGGAGGAAAACCGUCCACGCGAUAUCGCCGCACCGCAAAACUGAAAUAAAUCAUACGUCCCGGGAGCAAAACGCGAUCGUCCUGUUAUAUGCAGGCACGUUUGUAGGCUUUUUUCGGCGCGGUAAAAAUUCCACUCGAUAUUUCCCGACCUCGAAACGAAAGACGUCACGCGAUCAAAACGGCGACGGGCGUAAAAAGUUCGCGUCCGAAAUCGUAUUUCUCGUUUUUCGUCAAAAAUCCGUCUGUAAAAUAAAUUACCUACCUGUAUUUAUAAUACAACCGCGUGUAUAUAUUUACUUGUUCGCUUCUCAGUCGUAUGUCGUGUAUGUUAUAUUAUACUGUAUAUUUACGAAAUCCGUUAUAUUAUUGUUUGAAAAAGCUACGAGUCAGAAUUAUACUAUUACGCAAUUAUAAUAAUAAUAUUAUUCGAUUUACCUUUAAAUAUUUAUACUGUCAAACGCACUGUUUAUCUAAAAAAUUUUAAUUUAUUCAUCUGUUUUUUU